AGCAGCCGCGGUAAUUCCAGCUCCAAUAGCGUAUAUUAAAGUUGUUGCAGUUAAAAAGCUCGUAGUUGAAUUUCGGGGUCAGUAGGUUGGUCGUGCCACUGGUAUGCACUGGUCUCACUGAUUCCUCCUUCCUGAUGAACCGUAAUGCCAUUAAUUUGGUGUUGCGGGGAAUCUGGACUGUUACUUUGAAAAAUUAGAGUGUUUAAAGCAGGCUAACGCUUGAAUACAUUAGCAUGGAAUAAUGGAAUAGGACGAUCGAUCCUAUUUUGUUGGUUUCUAGGAUUGACGUAAUGAUUAAUAGGGAUAGUUGGGGGCAUUAGUAUUCAAUUGUCAGAGGUGAAAUUCUUGGAUUUUAUUGAAGCUAACUACUGCGAAAGCAUUUGCCAAGGAUGUUU
rnacentral:rRNA from 1 species